rnacentral:rRNA from 1 species
UACGUAGGGGGCUAGCGUUGUCCGGAAUCAUUGGGCGUAAAGCGCGUGUAGGCGGUCCGGUAAGUCCGCUGUGAAAGUCGGGGGCUCAACCCUCGAAAAGCCGGUGGAAACUGUCGGGCUAGAGUGCGGAAGAGGCGAGUGGAAUUCCUGGUGUAGCGGUGAAAAUGCGCAGAUAUCAGGAGGAACACCAAUUGCGAAAGGCAGCUCGCUGGGACGUUACUGAGCUGAGACGCGAAAACUGGGGGAGCAAAACAGG